rnacentral:rRNA from 1 species
UACGUAGGGUGCGGAGCGUUAAUCGGAAUUACUGGGCGUAAAGCGUGCGCAGGCGGUUUGUAAGCCAGAUGUGAAAUCCCCGGGCUUAACCUGGGAAUGGCAUUUGGGACUGCAAGGCUGGAGUUUGGCAGAGGAGACUGGAAUUCCUGGUGUAGCAGUGAAAUGCGUAGAUACCAGGAGGAACACCGGUGGCGAAGGCGGUUCCUGGCCGAGUACUGACGCUGAGGCACGAAAGCGUGGGGAGCGAACGGG